rnacentral:lncRNA from 1 species
UCCAGCCCCGCCUACCCACUCCGUGUCCCUCCAAUCACAAGCCCUGGGCCCUGGAGCUCUCUGGCAACCCUCUGUGAGGGUAGAGUGUUUUUGUCCAGCAGAUGGAGAGGAUUCUCCCAACCUCACAGGAAGGAACCAGGGGAUCACCCACUUCACACGCAGGUACCAACAAAUUCUACCGUAGGAGAGGAGUUUUUGAAAAAGUCUUCAUUUGCAGGAGGUCAUGACCCAGAGAAAAUAACUUCAGAAGACUGAGACAUCCUCCGUGAAGGAAGAAGGGGUUAUGAAAUUAUUCUCCUGCUUCCUCGCUCUGACCCUGAUGAUCAGGAUUUGUCUAAAGUUAUGGAAGUCUUCCUGAACUUUUCUUAUUAAUUUGAAAAAAAAAAAACUUUCUGUCAUUAAACAAAUACACAGAAAACACCAGGCCCAUUGAAGAUGCCCGUUAAUUAAUUAUUACACAAACAGUGGGUGUGGG